rnacentral:rRNA from 1 species
AGUGAACGCUGGCGGUAGGCCUAACACAUGCAAGUCGAACGGCAGCACAGUAAGAGCUUGCUCUUACGGGUGGCGAGUGGCGGACGGGUGAGGAAUACAUCGGAAUCUACUUUUUCGUGGGGGAUCACGUAGGGAAACUUACGCUAGUACCGCAUACGACCUACGGGUGAAAGCAGGGGAUCUUCGGACCUUGCGCGAUUGAAUGAGCCGAUGUCGGAUUAGCUAGUUGGCGGGGUAAAGGCCCACCAAGGCGACGAUCCGUAGCUGGUCUGAGAGGAUGAUCAGCCACACUGGAACUGAGACACGGUCCAGACUCCUACGGGAGGCAGCAGUGGGGAAUAUUGGACAAUGGGCGCAAGCCUGAUCCAGCCAUACCGCGUGGGUGAAGAAGGCCUUCGGGUUGUAAAGCCCUUUUGUUGGGAAAGAAAAGCAGCAGGUUAAUACCCCGCUGUUCUGACGGUACCCAAAGAAUAAGCACCGGCUAACUUCGUG